rnacentral:rRNA from 1 species
AUUGAACGCUGGCGGCAGGCCUAACACAUGCAAGUCGAACGAGUGGCGGACGGGUGAGUAAUGUCUGGGAAACUGCCUGAUGGAGGGGGAUAACUACUGGAAACGGUAGCUAAUACCGCAUACCAUCGGAUGUGCCCCGAUGGGAUUAGCUUGUUGGUGGGGUAACGGCUCAACAAGGCGACGAUCCCUAGCUGGUCUGAGAGGAUGACCAGCCACAAUGGAACGUAGACACGGUCCAGAAGCCUAUGGGCGGGAGGAGUGGGGAAUAUUGCACAAUUGGCGCAAGCCUGAUGCAGCCAGGCCGCGUGUAUGAAGAAGGCCUUCGGGUUGUAAAGUACUUUCAGCGGGGAGGCGUUACCCGCAGAAGAAGCACCGGCUAACUCCGUGCCAGCCGCCGCGGUAAUUC